UCCUACGGGAGGCAGCAGUGGGGAAUAUUGGACAAUGGGCGAAAGCCUGAUCCAGCCAUGCCGCGUGUGUGAAGAAGGUCUUCGGAUUUAAAGCACUUUAAGUUGGGAGGAAGGGCAGUAAGUUAUUACCUUGCCGAUGACGUACCGACAGAGAGCCCCGCCCCCC
rnacentral:rRNA from 1 species